UUACGGCCAUGUCACGUUGAAACACCGAUUCUCGUACGACCACUGAAGUUAAGCCACGUCGAUCCUGAUCAGUGUCUAGCUGGGUGAUCUCUUGGGAAUAUUCGGCGCUGUCAG